CAGACCUAGCCCUCAAUUAUGUGUUUCCUGCAGGAAUACCGUGCUGAGCCUUUGCCUUGAGAAUGCAGAGCUGAAAGAGCAGAUGGGAGAAGCAAUGUCUGAUGGAUGGGAGAUCGAGGAAGACAAGGAGAAGAGCGAGGUGAUGGUUGAGACUGGUAGCCAAAGAGGGUCUGAGUGAGAGUAGCCUUCAGGCUGAGUUCAGAAAGCUCCAGGGAAAACUGAAGAAUGCCCACAAUAUCAUCAACCUCCUCAAAGAACAACUUGUGCUGAGUAGCAAGGAAGGGAAUAGUAAACUUACUCCAGAGCUCCUUGUGCAUCUGACCAGCACCAUCGACGGAAUAAACACAGAACUGGUUGGUUCCCCUGGGAAGCACCAACACCAAGAGGAGGGGAAUGUGACUGUGAGGCCUUUCCCCAGACCCCAGAGCCUUGACCUUGGGGCUACCUUCACAGUGGAUGCCCACCUAGUAAGUGUGGGCUUAGAUUGAGUGAAAAACAAUUGGAGAAGGGCUUGAGAUGACAGUGUUUACCUUAAAACAUUCUCCCAUAUGAAUCAGGAGGUACCAAGAGAAGGUUCUCUGUACCACAAACAAUAGUAAUAAUAUUCUGCCUACAUUCAGCCUUUAGAAAGGCUUUUAUAACAUAAAUAUUUCUUGAGUACUUAAUUUUUCAGAUAACACACUAGGCAUUGGCAUGGGGCAAUAAAACCAAUGGCUGCCCUUGAGAUACUUAAUAUAGUCAGGAAAGAUGGCACACAAACAGGUAAUUUUAACAGGAUGUGGUAAUUGCUGUAACAUAGGGAUUCAUCAGGUUAUGAGGCAGCCCAGACAAGUGGUAUGUAAUGACAUCCCUUAUCACUGCCAUUUUUUUGUCACAGCUCAUCACAGGUGUCUGUUCCUGGACCUCAGAUGGGUUACUGGGAUCCUCUUUAGGGAAGGAGCCGUGCUGAAGAUUCAGUGAAAUGGAGAAUACAGGGAUUCUGAGAGAAUCAAUGGGACAGAAUGCAAGGGGAGAUGAGUGGAGGGUUCCACCCCUUCUCUUUUUGACCACUGAGAAAACAUUUCCUGAGAGCUCCUCUGUAGACUUGAUUGGUGCUGUGCUGUGUGCUGUGGAUACAGAUAUGAAGAAAACUUUAUCCCAGCGCUCCAGGAGCUCCAUCUGGAAAGCAAGUCACUGCCAAAUGGCAUGAGAAGUGCUGUGACAGACUUGAGUAAAGUCCACAGGGUUCAGAAGGGGCGGUGGUCGUCACUGCAUGGGGGUGACCUCAGACUGUCCCGAUCCCUGUAUUGGCCCCUUUCACAGUUGGAUAACCAGUCCCAGCCUCAUGACCCUGGGCCUCAGUCAGCGUUUAGCCUACCAGGGUCCACCCAGCACCUGCGCUCCCAGCUGUCACAAUGCAAACAACGCUAUCAAGAUCUCCAGGAGAAGCUGCUGCUAUCAGAAGCCACUGUCUUUGCUCAGGCUAAUGAGCUGGAGAAAUACAGUGAAUCCUUGGUGAAGCAGGACAGCAAGCAGGUCCAGGUGAACCUCCAGGACCUGGGCUAUGAGACUUGUGGCUGAAGCGAGAAUCAGGCUGAACAGGAGGAAACCACCAGUCCUGAGUGUGAGGAGCACAACAGCCUCAAGGAAGUGAUCCUGAUGGAGGGGCUGUGCUC
rnacentral:lncRNA from 1 species